rnacentral:misc_RNA from 1 species
AAGUCGUAACAAGGUUUCCGUAGGUGAACCUGCGGAAGGAUCAUUAACACUUUUUCAAAAAUGGUUUUUCUUUUAGAAAAACUUAUUUCUGCCCACCUUUUGGAUGAACUUUUUUGAUGGCGAGAUAUUGCAGCUUCUUUUUUGAGGUUGUGUAUAUCUUUCUAUCAUGUUUUUCAUUAUUUCAAACUUUUUAACCCCAAACAACCAAUUUAUUUUACAAAUUGCUAUAUCUUGAAAAAGCCUAACAUGUGUGUGGGUUUGUGUUGGGUGUGAUCAAUGCAAAUUGAUCGCCUCCAACUAAAAACUUAUCACUCAAGAAAUCAUAAAAACUAAGAAAACAACUCUUAACAACGGAUAUCUUGGCUCUC